GACAGAGGCCCCGAGCGUUAGGCGGAAUCACUGGGCUUAAAGCGUGUGUAGGCGGCCCUGUAAGUGGGUUGUGAAAUCCCACGGCUCAACCGUGGAACUGCUGGGCAUACUGCGGGUCUUGGGCCAACUAGGGGCAGCCGGAACAAGCGGUGGAGCGGUGAAAUGCGUAGAUAUCGCUUGGAACGCCGAAGGUGAAAACAGGCUGCUGGGGUUGCGCCGACGCUGAGGCGCGAAAGCCAGGGGAGCGAACGGG
rnacentral:rRNA from 1 species